GACGAACGCUGGCGGCGUGCUUAACACAUGCAAGUCGAGCGAGGCCCCUCCUUCGGGAGGGUGACCUAGCGGCGAACGGGUGAGUAACACGUGGGCAAUCUGCCCCUAGCUCUGGGAUAACCCCGGGAAACCGGGCUAAUACUGGAUAUGACUUCGGAGGGCAUCCUCCGCGGUAGGAAAAGGUUUACUGGCUAGGGAUGAGCCCGCGGCCUAUCAGCUUGUUGGUGGGGUAAAGCCUACCAAGGCGACGACGGGUAGCCGGCCUGAGAGGGCGACCGGCCACACUGGGACUGAGACACGGCCCAGACUCCUACGGGAGGCAGCAGUGGGGAAUAUUGCACAAUGGGCGAAAGCCUGAUGCAGCGACGCCGCGUGAGGGAUGACGGCCU
rnacentral:rRNA from 1 species